GAUGAACGCUGGCGGCGUGCCUAAUACAUGCAAGUCGAGCGAACGGACGAGAAGCUUGCUUCUCUGAUGUUAGCGGCGGACGGGUGAGUAACACGUGGAUAACCUACCUAUAAGACUGGGAUAACUUCGGGAAACCGGAGCUAAUACCGGAUAAUAUUUUGAACCGCAUGGUUCAAAAGUGAAAGACGGUCUUGCUGUCACUUAUAGAUGGAUCCGCGCUGCAUUAGCUAGUUGGUAAGGUAACGGCUUACCAAGGCAACGAUGCAUAGCCGACCUGAGAGGGUGAUCGGCCACACUGGAACUGAGACACGGUCCAGACUCCUACGGGAGGCAGCAGUAGGGAAUCUUCCGCAAUGGGCGAAAGCCUGACGGAGCAACGCCGCGUGAGUGAUGAAGGUCUUCGGAUCGUAAAACUCUGUUAUUAGGGAAGAACAUAUGUGUAAGUAACAGUGCACAUCUUGACGGUACCUAAUCAGAAAGCCACGGCUAACUACGUG
rnacentral:rRNA from 1 species